UUUUCUGCUUUUUAUCAUUAAAAAAAGGUUGAAAGCUGCGAGUUGAGUUUAUAUACUUUGGAGUGGGAUUUCUAGCUUUCAAUAAUGCCAAUUUAGUUAAAUAAACUAAUUUGGUUAGAUAAUGCAAAUAACUUUGCUACAUAAUGGUAUCGAUUUACAUCCAUAAGAGGUGUGUGUCUCAGAGCUUGCUUUGUCUCGAUUCUCAACAACUAUCUUGUAGUUACAAUAAUAAAGUACUCUAAUAAUAACAAUAACUAUUUUUUACUAACUUCCAGAAAUUUUUAUGAGUGAGUUCACCUCUUUGGGUCUGUUUCUUCACCCACAAUAAGUAAAGUCUGCAAUAUGAGAAUUUCUAAAGUCCCCGUGUAAAAUGUUUUAAUUACAAAACACUUGUAAAAGAAUCAUAUUGGUUAUUCUCAAGAAACAGCAGAUGUGACUACUGGAGAAAAGGGCCAUUGUGGUUCCACUGUUCUAACCAGCACAUAGUAGUCGUUCAAUUUGCCUGGAUUAAAUGAAUGAUUAUGUGCUUUUCACUUGGUAAAUAUUUAACAUAUAAACGUAGUCCUUUCCCUAGAAGUGGGAAAGGUGCCAACUGAACUUAUCAUUAGCCUUGAUCUGAUUCAGUAACACAGGUUUGUAAAACUUGCUGGUUAUACGUAUAUUGGGUACUUAACUGAAUGCAACAUAAUUCACUAAACAUAAGCAACUUGUGGUUUCUCGUGACCAUUGAACAAUUCAAGUGACUUGAAAAAUACCAAUUUUCCACCAACUGCCAGAUUGCUGAGGAUUUCACCAUGAAGAUUUGACCCGAAUACAUAUGAGUGAAUAAAUCUAGAAACACAUUUAUGAAUGGACUUUUCAGAAGGAUUCGACUGUGAAGUGAGGAGAAGGCUCAUCACCUUGCUCCAGUGCCUGGCUGGCCUGUGUUACGUGUGCUGUCCAUGAUGUACCAAGAGCAGGCAGUGCCUCUCUCCCGAGCAUCCUCACCCCCAGAGCUCUGCGUUCUGCAGUGAUGGGCUCUCUCUCUGUUCUCCACCUUCAGCUAUAUCCUAAAAGCACAAACCACCCAGCUCUUUUUAAAAAUGCUUGAGGCUUAAACCACCUAUUGGAAUGCUCACUGUAUUCGCGAGAGACCAUGUCGAUUGAGCGUUCUCCUGUGCCAUUAUAAAUACACAACCCACCAACGAAUCAAGAAACCAUCCGUGAGUGAGGGUCAGAGCCUUGUCAGGAGCUGUUUCCGGAAGAUGUGAGGGUGGCAACGUUGCUUUCGCCAGUGCUAGUUUCUGUCCAGAUGGCAACUUUGCCUCAGUGUAAUCCCAAAUGACACGUCCAAUUUCCCUUUCUCAACUCUUGAGUUUUUCCAGGAAGAAAAUGUGGUUUUGCCCUCCUUUUAGAAAAUUGAUGUUUCUGUGCUUUUGCUUUGCUAGUGCAUCUGAAAACAUAUGGACGCUUCUGGCUAAAAAAAAGGAAAAAAAAUCUUUUCUGAUUCAUCUGGCUAAACACAUGAAUUUUCCAAAUUCAGUAAAAAACCCUUUUAUGAGACACUUUCGUCUACCAUAGAUUCCAUUAGACCACGCAGCAGAUCUUCUCCCAGUACACACAGUCAUGUUGUCAUCACAAUUCCCAAUGUUCCAGAAUGGUAGAAACUUCCUGGCCUUUAUGUCUGAUACAUUAUUUGAGAGAACGUCUCCACUGACCCCAUCACCUGGAUUGGAUCACCAACCUCUCCCAAGAGAGGUCUGGCUUCCUCCUAGCUGGGGAAAUGGUCUUAGUCUAGUGGAUGCUGCUUUGGAGCCAUGGAGAAAAAGCAGCCUGUGCCGAUUGACCAUGAGCCUGGGUACACUGCAUGAACCUGUGGAAGUACCUUUUCUGUGUCUGCCUGAACUAUCAUACCUCAUUAAACAUAAGAUGAAAUAAAGACAUUCCAAGUCAGAGAAGAGUUGAUCAAUUUCCUGCCACAGAAGGACAUCGGAAAUAAACAGUGAAAGAAGUUUCUUGAGCUGAAAGAAAAGUCCAGAAGAUCCUACAGGAGAUUCCGCUGGCCUUUUAAGCAAGAAAUGACUUCACAGUCGAAACUUUGGUUUGGAAGACUCUUGUUUCAAAUCUCGGCGGCAUCCAAUAAGCCCACCUCAUCAGCUGGUGGUAAGCACCUAGGACUUGGGCCAGUAGAACCAAGGAAAGAAACACACUAAUUUAGUAAAAAGGUAUCAUAAAACAUCAGAUCUGCUGUUUGUGGCUGUGGGUGCUUUGGAAUGUGCACACACAUGAGGUUUUCCUCUCCCUGCCACUUCCUCCUUCUCUUCCCCCUCUUCACACAGAAGUAGCUGCAUAUCAAGAAUUGGUCUUUCCCAAAGCCUAGGCCUUCAGGAGAACUUGGAAGUUUUCAGACAAAAAAGAACGGUGUUUGUAAACCAGGUAAGUCUUGGAAAUGGCAUCUUAGAAGUGGGUGGGAUAGGAAAAGGACCCCAGUGCAUGCCAGCACCAUGACAGACCGAGACCUCUCCUCUGUGUGCAGAGGGGAAGUCUAAGCAUUUGGAGACCGUUGGAGCCAGUUCUUUGCUUCCAGGCAUGAAAUAAAGAAGCAUCAGACAGGAAUAUAAGGUGUGUUUAGGAAAACCGGGUCACCAGGCACUUUCACAAAAUAGUUCUGGGGCCCGGCCUGGUGGGUGUUGUAACUAGAAGGUAAGCGAGCAGAGAGAUGGUGGCCUCAGGAGGUCUGACUGAG